GUGCGUUUAGCUCAGCUGGAUAGAGCGUUUGGCUACGGACCAAAAGGUCGGGGGUUCGAAUCCUCUAACGCACGCGA
rnacentral:tRNA from 1 species